UGAUACAUCAGCUUCAAAAGCUGCAAGAAAGAUUUUUUUUUUCCCACAAAAAAAAGCUUUAAUUAGGACAUGAUUGACAACAUUUAAAGCAUGGGUAAUCAUCCAUUGUUCAGAGAGAGAGAGCGCUUAAUCUCAGUACAUCUCAUCCAACAAUUUCGAUUGAGCAAAUUUUAGUGUCAAAUGAAAAUUAGAGAAACUGCUGUGAUACAGAAUUUGCAUAUCCAUCAAUUUGAAUAGCGUUACUUUUAAACACCACUAUUUAUACACAACAGCAGAACCUUAAAUCAGCACAACACAAAUACUUCAACAUCUGUAUGCUCUAAUUGCUUCAAUGGACCAAGAUUCAAGAUCAAGAUUCACACUUUAUAAUUGGUAAGUUUCACCUAAUGGAUUCAUUUUUAUUGUCUUUUGAACCCAAUGAAAAUUUUAUCUUCAUAUGACAACUGACUUUUGAUGAUGAUUUAAAUAUCUUUGGUAAAUCUAUUUGAUAUUGUAAUUUAAAUCUUUAAAAGCUCAAAUUGCCACACAAUAUCCAUUUGAAUGCACUUAAAUGCAAGAACAUGUAUCCCAUGAGACUAGCCAAAUUACAGCUCUAGGAAGGAUUAGAUGCACACACAGCUUUCUCCUUGUACCAUAAGAAGAUUAGGAGAUUAUUCCAUGAUUAGAACCAGUGACCACCAAGUCACAACAGAGCAAGCUUCCUAUUAUACUAGAAGAGCUCAUCUCAUAUCCAGAAAAAAAAAAGAG
rnacentral:misc_RNA from 1 species